rnacentral:rRNA from 1 species
UACGUAGGGUGCGAGCGUUGUCCGGAAUUAUUGGGCGUAAAGAGCUUGUAGGCGGUUUGUCGCGUCUGCUGUGAAAAUCCGGGGCUCAACCCCGGACUUGCAGUGGGUACGGGCAGACUAGAGUGUGGUAGGGGAGACUGGAAUUCCUGGUGUAGCGGUGAAAUGCGCAGAUAUCAGGAGGAACACCGAUGGCGAAGGCAGGUCUCUGGGCCACUACUGAUGCUGAGAAGCGAAAGCAUGGGGAGCGAACAGGAUUAGAUA